UAAAAAACAUAAAGCAUGAUAAUGAAUAGUGGGCUUGUGUAACACUUGGACAUUAUGACAUAGCUUCAGAUGAGUGAUUUUGAAUGCAUGAGUAGGAGUUGGCUAACUUUGAAGAGUUUCUUGUUCUUUGUUUAGAUUUCUGUUGGAUUUUAUUGACAUGCUUAAGGGUCCUUGUUAUUGAUUCAUUGAUGAGGAUUUUACUUGCUUCUGAGUGGUUAAAUUAAGCAGAUGGAGUGAUAAGCAGAGUAGUUUUUGUUCUCUUUCACUCGAGGACGAGCAAAAGUGUAAGUUGGGGAGUGUGAUCGGGGCUUAAUUAUGUACGAAAUGAUUAUUUAAUUCU